UUUGCCCAUGCUCCCCUAUUUAUUUGCUUAUUUAAUAUCAGUAUGGACUCACAUAUAUUUAUUUUAUACUUUCAAUCUGUUUUUUCACGGUGACUGUAAAUUCAUGUAUUUUUUUUUUAAUGCAGAAAACAUACAAACAACUGUGCUGUGUGAGAAACAAAUUCUAUGAUGGCAAGAUUCUCCCUCCACAGCUCUUCAUGACUGCCUUUGCGUAGGGUCAUCUUUGGCUUAUUGCUAUUCACCUGGCAACCUCACACAAGCUGUUUCAACUCUGCAGGCCUCAGUUUCCCCAUCUGAAUGAGAGAGUCUUCAUGGAGUGGUCUCAGAGGGGAAGAGGGGAUGAUGUUUGUAUGUUUAUAGGUAUACAGCUGUUCUGUUGCCUAUUUACAGAACUAAAGUCCUUAAGGGCAAGGGGUAUCUUCUCUUAUUUAUGUUGGAAAAUGAACCCAGAGCUAAUAGCCCUUGAGAACAUCACCUAAACGUAAUCUUUAUAUCCCCUCCCACAACCCCAGAUGGUUCUCCUGCCCUGCUGUGCUGCCUCUCUGCAUGGGAUUUGGUUCUGCUUUUCUCGAGUGUCUGACACCCACCCCAAGGCCCGGCAUUCAAGGCCUUGUCCUCCUUGGCCUCAUUUUUGUGCCUCUCAUCUACCUGUACUACGGCCACACAGACAUCCUUGUCACCCCCAUGAAUUUCAGUGCUUACGGUAUCGCCCUCCUCUGUGCCAGGCCCUGGGCUGGGCGCCAGGCCACAGAGAUGAACCAGAGAGGGGCUCUGAGUCAGAGCUCACAGUCCAAUGUGGGCGCCAAGUCCUCGAUCCAUAGCAAUCUGACAUACAGAGGGAUGAGUGGAGCACUGUGGGAGCACAGUGGAGGGAGGGCCUGGCCUGGAGAGAAUCAGAAAGGCUUGGCAAAGAUGCUAACUUCUGAGCUGGGCUUUGACAGGUGUAUGGGAGUUUACGGGGUAGUGAAUGGGAGAAGGCGUAUUCCAGGCACAAAGAAAGGUAUGUGUGUGUGAACCAGAGAAAUGGCAGAGACCAGGGAACAAUCAUAAGUGUCAUGUGUCUGGAGCCAAAGUUCAGGAAGAAAGAAGGGCCCGAAGUGAGACAGGAGAGUGAGGUGGGGACCUCUGUGAGGAGCCUCAAUUCUGGGCUGGCAGUUUCUACUUGCGGAAUUUCAAAGGUGUUUUUCUUUUGUUUUUUUUGUUUUUGUGAGGAAGAUUGGUCCUGAGCUAACAUCUGUUGCCAAUCUCUUCCUCUUCUUGCUUGAGGAAGAUUGUUGCUGAGCUAACAUCUGUGCCAGUCUUCCUCUAUUUUACGUGGGAUGCUAUCACAGUGUGGCUUGACAAGUGGUGCUAGGUCUGUGCCCAGAAUCCGAACCCGCGAACCCCGGGGUGCUGAAGCAGAGUGUAGGAACUUAACUACUGUGCCACCAGACCGGCCCCUAAAGGUUUCAAGGCCGCUCUCCACAUUGACCUGCAGAGUGACCUCUCUGACCCCUAGGAUCCAACCUUACCACAGCAGGCAGAAAGCCUUUUACUGGCUCCCAGUGUCCCGGAUGAAGCCCACACGCCGUAAAUGAUGAUGAAGAUGAAGGUGGUAGCUACCACAUACCUCUCUCACAACCCCCACAACAGUCCUGCAAGGCAGGCGAGGAUCACUGUCCUCAUUUGUCAAAUGAAAAUCUGAUGGCUCAGAGAGGUUCAGUGACUCACCCGAGGUUACUCAGCCAGCGAGCUGCAGACACAGGCACCAAGCCCAGGGCUGUGGGCUGAUUGUUUGAUGGGCAUUCGAGGCCUGUCAGCCUCCCUCGCCAGAGAAGUUGCCAGGCUCAU
ensembl:lncRNA